CAUGUCUUUUUGAUUAUAAUUUAAGGUCUAAUCUGCUCAAUGAUAAUUUAAAUUGCUGCAGUAUUUUAACUGUGUGAAAGUAGCAUAAUAAUUUGUUUUUUUAUUGGGAACUGGAAUGAAUGAUUGAACGAGAAACUAUCUGUCUCUAUUUAAUUUUUAUUGAAAUUAAUUUUUAAGUUAAAAGGCUUAAAUUUUAAUUAAAGACGAGAAGACCCUAUAGAGUUUUAUUAUUGAUAUUUUUUUUAUUUUUGGUAUUAAUUUUUGAAUUUUUAUAUAAUUUGGUUGGGGUGACUUAAAGAUUAAAUAAACUCUUUAUUUUUAAAAUCAUUAAUUUAUGAAUUUAUAAUCUUAUUUUUAAAAUUAAAAUUAAAUUACCUUAGGGAUAACAGCGUAAUUUUAUUUAGAGUUCUUAUCGAAAUUAAAGUUUACGACCUCGAUGUUGGAUUAAAAUUUAUUUUGGGUGUAGAAGCUUAAUAAUUAAGUCUGUUCGACUUUUAAAAUUUUACAUGAUCUGAGU
rnacentral:rRNA from 1 species